rnacentral:rRNA from 1 species
UGGGGAAUAUUGCACAAUGGGCGCAAGCCUGAUGCAGCCAUGCCGCGUGUAUGAAGAAGGCCUUCGGGUUGUAAAGUACUUUCAGCAGUGAGGAAGGUGGGUAUGUUAAUAGCAUACUCAUUUGACGUUAGCUGCAGAAGAAGCACCGGCUAACUCCGUGCCAGCAGCCGCGGUAAUACGGAGGGUGCGAGCGUUAAUCGGAAUUACUGGGCGUAAAGCGCAUGCAGGUGGUUUGUUAAGUCAGAUGUGAAAGCCCGGGGCUCAACCUCGGAAUUGCAUUUGAAACUGGCAAACUAGAGUACUGUAGAGGGGGGUAGAAUUUCAGGUGUAGCGGUGAAAUGCGUAGAGAUCUGAAGGAAUACCGGUGGCGAAGGCGGCCCCCUGGACAGAUACUGACACUCAGAUGCGAAAGCGUGGGGAGCAAACAGG